AUACGGAGGAUCCGAGCGUUAUCCGGAUUUAUUGGGUUUAAAGGGUGCGCAGGCGGGAGAUUAAGUCGGCGGUGAAAUUUUUGAGCUCAAAUGUAAAAGUGCCCUCGAAAAUGGGUUCCUUUGGUGGAGAUGAAGGAGGGGGAAUUUGGGGUGUAGCGGGGAAAUGCAUAGAUAUCACGAGGAACUCCGAUUGCGCAGGCAGCUUACUAAACUACUACUGACGCUCAGGCACGAAGGCGUGGGGAUCAAACAGGAUUAGAUACCCUGGUAGUCCACGCAGUAAACGAUGAUUACUAGCUGUUUGCGAUACAAUGUAAGCGGCUGAGCGAAAGCGUUAAGUAAUCCACCUGGGGAGUACGUUCGCAAGAAUGAAACUUAAAGGAAUUGGCGGGG
rnacentral:rRNA from 1 species